GAUGAACGCUGGCGGCGUGCCUAAUACAUGCAAGUAGAACGCUGAGGGGAGGAGCUUGCUCUUUCCGGGUGAGCUGCGGACGGGUGAGUAACGCGUAGGUAACCUGCCUGGUAGCGGGGGAUAACUAUUGGAAACGAUAGCUAAUACCGCAUAACAGUAGAUGUUGCAUGAUUCCUACUUAAAAGGUGCAAUUGCUCCACUACCAGAUGGACCUGCGUUGUAUUAGCUAGUUGGUGAGGUAACGGCCUACCAAGGCAACGAUACAUAGCCGACCUGAGAGGGGGACGGCCCACCUGGGAACGGGGACCCGCCCCAGACCCUUAGGGGGGGCGCAGGAGGGGAAUCUUCGGAAAUGGGGGAAAGCCUAACGGGGCAACGCGGGGUGGUGAAUAAGGGUCUCGGAUCGUAAAGACCCUGUUUAUGGGAAGGAAGAGUUGUGGAGGGAAAAGUGCACGUCUUGACGGUACCUUACCAGAAAGCGACGGCUAACUACGUG
rnacentral:rRNA from 1 species